rnacentral:rRNA from 1 species
CAGUCGCCGCGGUACUACGGAGGGGGCUAGCGUUGUUCGGAAUUACUGGGCGUAAAGCGCACGUAGGCGGCUUGGUAAGUUAGAGGUGAAAGCCCGGAGCUCAACUCCGGAAUUGCCUUUAAGACUGCCGAGCUAGCAGGUGAGAGAGGUAAGUGGAAUUCCGAGUGUAGAGGUGAAAUUCGUAGAUAUUCGGAAGAACACCAGUGGCGAAGGCGGCUUACUGGCUCAUACUGGACGCUGAGGUGCGAAAGCGUGGGGAGCAAACAGGAUUAGAUACCCGUGUAGUCCCUGUCUCUUAUAC